rnacentral:rRNA from 1 species
GUGAAGAAGGUCUUCGGAUCGUAAAACCCUGUUGUUAGAGAAGAAAGUGCGUGAGAGUAACUGUUCACGUUUCGACGGUAUCUAANCAGAAAGGCACGGCUAANUNCGUGCCAGCAGCCGCGGUAAUACGUAGGUGGCAAGCGUUAUCCGGAUUUAUUGGGCGUAAAGGGAACGCAGGCGGUCUUUUAAGUCUGAUGUGAAAGCCUUCGGCUUAACCGGAGUAGUGCAUUGGAAACUGGGAGACUUGAGUGCAGAAGAGGAGAGUGGAACUCCAUGUGUAGCGGUGAAAUGCGUAGAUAUAUGGAAGAACACCAGUGGCGAAAGCGGCUCUCUGGUCUGUAACUGACGCUGAGGUUCGAAAGCGUGGGUAGCAAACAGGAUUAGAUACCCUGGUAGUCCACCCCGUAAACGAUGAAUGCUAAGUGUUGGAGGGUUUCCGCCCUUCAGUGCUGCAGCUAACGCAAUAAGCAUUCCGCCUGGGGAGUACGACCGCAAGGUUGAAACUCAAAGGAAUUGACGGGGGCCCACACAAGCGGUGGAGCAUGUGGUUUAAUUCGAAGCAACGCGAAGAACCUUACCAGGUCUUGACAUCUUCUGACAAUCCUAGAGAUAGGACUUUCCCUUCGGGGACAGAAUGACAGGUGGUGCAUGGUUGUCGUCAGCUCGUGUCGUGAGAUGUUGGGUUAAGUCCCGCAACGAGCGCAACCCUUAUUGUUAGUUGCCAACAUUAAGUUGGGCACUCUAGCAAGACUGCCGGUGACAAACCGGAGGAAGGCG